rnacentral:rRNA from 1 species
AGUGGCGGACGGGUGAGUAACGCGUAAGAAUCUAACUUCAGGACGGGGACAACAGUGGGAAACGACUGCUAAUACCCGAUGUGCCGCAAGGUGAAACCUAAUUGGCCUGGAGAAGAGCUUGCGUCUGAUUAGCUAGUUGGUGGGGUACAGGCCUACCAAGGCGACGAUCAGUAGCUGGUCUGAGAGGAUGAGCAGCCACACUGGGACUGAGACACGGCCCAGACUCCUACGGGAGGCAGCAGUGGGGAAUUUUCCGCAAUGGGCGAAAGCCUGACGGAGCAACGCCGCGUGAGGGAGGAAGGUCUUUGGAUUGUAAACCUCUUUUCUCAAGGAAGAAGUUCUGACGGUACUUGAGGAAUCAGCCUCGGCUAACUCCGUGCCAGCAGCCGCGGUAAUACGGGGGAGGCAAGCGUUAUCCGGAAUUAUUGGGCGUAAAGCGUCCGCAGGUGGUCAGCCAAGUCUGCCGUCAAAUCAGGUUGCUUAACGACCUAAAGGCGGUGGAAACUGGCAGACUAGAGAGCAGUAGGGGUAGCAGGAAUUCCCAGUGUAGCGGUGAAAUGCGUAGAGAUUGGGAAGAACAUCGGUGGCGAAAGCGUGCUACUGGGCUGUAUCUGACACUCAGGGACGAAAGCUAGGGGAGCGAAAGGGAUUAGAUACCCCUGUAGUCCUAGCCGUAAACGAUGGAUACUAGGCGUGGCUU